CAGCCGCCGCGGUAAUACGAAGGGGGCUAGCGUUGUUCGGAUUUACUGGGCGUAAAGCGCACGUAGGCGAACUUUUAAGUCAGGGGUGAAAUCCCGGGGCUCAACCCCGGAACUGCCUUUGAUACUGGAAGUCUUGAGUAUGGUAGAGGUGAGUGGAAUUCCGAGUGUAGAGGUGAAAUUCGUAGAUAUUCGGAAGAACACCAGUGGCGAAGGCGGCUCACUGGACACGUAUUGACGCUGAGGUACGAAAGCGUGGGGAGCAAACAGGAUUAGAUACCCCAGUAGUCCCUGUCUCUUAUAA
rnacentral:rRNA from 1 species